rnacentral:rRNA from 1 species
UACAGAGGUCCCAAGCGUUGUUCGGAUUCAUUGGGCGUAAAGGGUGCGUAGGUGGCGUCGUAAGUCGGGUGUGAAAACUCGAGGCUCAACCUCGAGACGCCGAUGGAAACCAUCUGACUAGAGUCCGGAAGAGGAGAGUGGAAUUCCUGGUGUAGCGGUGAAAUGCGCAGAUAUCAGGAAGAACACCCGUGGCUAAGGCGGCUCUCUAGUACGGUACUGACGCUGAGACGCGAAAGCGUGGGGAGCGAACAGG